rnacentral:lncRNA from 1 species
AUGAGCACAAUGAAAUGAUUAAGGCUUGAGAUUUUGGGUGCUUUCGGCAGCUAGACGAAUAACUCAUGAUGUCUGCGUUUUCAACCAAAAAGGUAAUGACUAUGGUUUCAACUUUAGCUUGAGAGGAUGAGUGUUUUAGAUUUGGGAUGGAGCUUUUUAGGAUGGGCGGCUUGAGUAGAUUUCUAGCAGCAUGACGAUUGCUUGGUCAUGCUUUGGAUUGUUGAAGAUGACUUGCUGAUGUUGAACCGAGAUUGUGUGAGCUUGGUAGGUGAUUGGCAUAGGAAAAAUGUAUUAUUGAUUUGGCAUGGCAUGUACACUAUUUAUAUAUUUAUUUAAUAAAUUAAUUCCCAAAAUACAGCUUGAAUUAAUGCAUGACCAACAACAGAAGAGUUAAGCUCGGAAUCCUUCUUAGCAAGGGAACUCUUUAGCUCAG